GUAGGGAAUAUUCCACAAUGAGCGAAAGCUUGAUGGAGCGACACAGCGUGCACGAUGAAGGUCUUCGGAUUGUAAAGUGCUGUUAUAAGGGAAGAACACUACAUUGAGGAAAUGCUUUGUAGCUGACGGUACCUUGUCAGAAAGCGAUGGCUAACUAUGUGCCGGCAGCCGCGGUAAUACAUAGGUCGCAAGCGUUAUCCGGAAUUAUUGGGCGUAAAGCGUUCGUAGGCUGUUUAUUAAGUCUGGAGUCAAAUCCCGGGGCUCAACCCCGGCUCGCUUUGGAUACUGGUAAACUAGAGUUAGAUAGAGGUAAGCGGAAUUCCAUGUGAAGCGGUGAAAUGCGUAGAUAUAUGGAAGAACACCAAAGGCGAAGGCAGCUUACUGGGUCUAUACUGACGCUGAGGGACGAAAGCGUGGGGAGCAAACAGGAUUAGAUACCCUGGUAGUCCACGCUGUAAACGAUGAUCAUUAGUCGGUGGAGAGUUCACUGACGCAGCUAACGCAUUAAAUGAUCCGCCUGAGUAGUAUGCUCGCAAGAGUGAAACUUAAAGGAAUUGACGGGGACCCGCACAAGCGGUGGAGCAUGUGGUUUAAUUUGAAGAUACACGGAGAACCUUACCCACUCUUGACAUCUUCCGCAAAGCUAUAGAGAUAUAGUGGAGGUUAACGGAAUGACAGAUGGUGCAUGGUUGUCGUCAGCUCGUGUCGUGAGAUGUUUGGUCAAGUCCUGCAACGAGCGCAACCCCUAUCUUUAGUUACUAACGAGUCAUGUCGAGGACUCUAGAGAUACUGCCUGGGUAACUGGGAGGAAGGUGGGGAUGACGUCAAAUCAUCAUGCCUCUUACGAGUGGGGCAACACACGUGCUACAAUGGUCGGUACAAAGAGAAGCAAUAUGGUGACAUGGAGCAAAUCUCAAAAAGCCGAUCUCAGUUCGGAUUGGAGUCUGCAAUUCGACU
rnacentral:rRNA from 1 species